UACAGAGGGUGCAAGCGUUAAUCGGAUUUACUGGGCGUAAAGCGUGCGUAGGCGGUUCGCUAAGUCGGUUGUGAAAUCCCUGGGCUUAACCUGGGAACUGCAGUCGAUACUGGCGGACUAGAGUACGGUAGAGGGUGGCGGAACUCCGGGUGUAGCGGUGAAAUGCGUAGAGAUCAUGAGGAAGACCAGUGGCGAAGGCGGGUCUCUGGACAGUUCCUGACACUGAGACACGAAGGCCAGGGGAGCAAACGGG
rnacentral:rRNA from 1 species